rnacentral:tRNA from 7 species
GUGGCCGUAGCUCAGUUGGUAGAGCCCCGGAUUGUGAUUCCGGUUGUCGUGGGUUCGAGCCCCAUCGGUCACCCCA